CGUAGGGUGCGAGCGUUGUCCGGAAUUAUUGGGCGUAAAGGGCUCGUAGGCGGUUUGUCGCGUCGGGAGUGAAAACUCAGGGCUUAACCCUGUUCGUGCUUCCGAUACGGGCAGACUAGAGGUAGGCAGGGGAGAAUGGAAUUCCUGGUGUAGCGGUGGAAUGCGCAGAUAUCAGGAGGAACACCGGUGGCGAAGGCGGUUCUCUGGGCCUAUUCUGACGCUGAGGAGCGAAAGCAUGGGGAGCGAACAGGAUU
rnacentral:rRNA from 1 species